AACGAACGCUGGCGGCAUGCCUAACACAUGCAAGUCGAACGAGACCUUCGGGUCUAGUGGCGCACGGGGGCGUAACGCGUGGGAACCUGCCCUUAGGUUCGGAAUAACUCCCCGAAAGGGGUGCUAAUACCGGAUAAUGUCUUCGGACCAAAGAUUUAUCGCCUUUGGAUGGGCCCGCGUUGGAUUAGCUAGUUGGUAGGGUAAAAGCCUACCAAGGCGACGAUCCAUAGCUGGUCUGAGAGGAUGAUCAGCCACACUGGGACUGAGGCACGGCCCAGACUCCUACGGGAGGCAGCAGUGGGGAAUAUUGGACAAUGGGCGAAAGCCUGAUCCAGCAGUGCCGCGUGAGUGAUGAAGGCCUUAGGGUUGUAAAGCUCUUUUACCCGGGAUGAUAAUGACAGUACCGGGAGAAUAAGCUCCGGCUAACUCCGUG
rnacentral:rRNA from 1 species